rnacentral:tRNA from 1 species
CAGAUUAAUAUUUAGUAAUAAUUUUCAUUUACACUGAAGUUUUUGUCGUGCGAUUCGAUGUGGUCUGA